rfam:Chlamydophila abortus strain S26/3, complete genome.
CGGAAGAGAAAGGCAACCGCUUUUUGUACCUUAACUAAGGUAGAUUAAGAGGAAAGUCUGGACUUCAUAAGAAAAGAUACUGGAGAAACUCCAGGGGCCGUAAGGCUACGGAAAGUGCAACAGAAAACAUUCCGCUAUAAAAGGGUCUUUUUAUAGACAGGCUGAAAAUUCCUAUUUUAAGAAUAGGAGCUAUUAAGGUGACUUAGUAGACAUGCAAACCCUAUCUGAAGCAAGAGAAAAAGUUUUUGUUUCUGCAUAAUGAGAGGGAGGGUAUCCCUCAUGAACUUUUUCAUAAUCGCUUGAGGGAUAUAGUAAUAUAUCCCCUAGAUGAAUGGUUGCCCUCAAGAUGAGUUUUCUCAUCUUGUAGACAGAAUCCAGCUUACCCUCUCUUCCGAUAU